rnacentral:rRNA from 1 species
UACAGAGGGUGCGAGCGUUAAUCGGAAUUACUGGGUGUAAAGCGCACGUAGGUGGCUUGGCAAGUCGGGUGUGAAAUCCCCGGGCUCAACCUGGGAACUGCAUCCGAGACUGCCUUGCUAGAGUAUGGGAGAGGGAAGUGGAAUUUCCGGUGUAGCGGUGAAAUGCGUAGAUAUCGGAAGGAACAUCAGUGGCGAAGGCGACUUCCUGGACCAAUACUGACACUCAGGUGCGAAAGCGUGGGGAGCAAACAGG